GAUAUCUUGUGAACCCAUUGCCAAAAAUUCAAAGCGAUUUGAAGGGUCAUUCAGGGCAACUUUCGUAUAAAAUCUCUAAAAACUUUGUUCAAGAUGCUGGGAGUGCACAAGGUAACAGUUUCCGCAGAUUUGAUGGCAUUUCAUCAACUAGGGAAAUACUGAGGAAGCAGAAUAUCAGGUCAUCCGCUUAGAGAAGACGGAUUGCAGCAAGCAUCACAGACUACAAACCACUAAUUUGCUGAAAUCACUCUCCUUGCUUGUUGGUUUAGGUUGCAGUGCACAAGAUGUACUAUAGAUUUCUUCUCGUGUGCCUUUGGAAGGUUUUAGUUCUCUUCAAGGAAUUUCAGGCUCCCAGAAGUUUCAGACACAUAAAGCAUAUGGAAGUCCUGAUCACUUGCCUUCUGCUCAUACUUGAUAUAUCUUUUUGCCCUUUUCAAUUCAUUCACUAUACAUACAUAUUUGUUUUCUGUUUGGAUGAUUUAUAGCUGGCAUACUAUGUUAUCAUUUGGUCAUUCAUCAUCCUUUUCUUGGUGCAGUUUCAAUCAACUGGAUUUGCCGGAGUAUCCAUCUAAACAACAUUUGGAAGAGAGGUUACUGCUAGCGAUUCACGAAGCAAGUGAGGGAUUUGGAUUUGGUUAAAAUGUUGUAUUACAUUUUAGAGUAGGAGUUUUUUCAGAAUAUAAUGGAACAGUAUACCAGUUUAUUAUCCCAGGAUGUCAAUCGGUUCAUUAGUAGCUUGGUUGUUUGAGUAUUUUUAGUAAUGUGAUUAUGUAAGUACUUGUAACUAACUUUGUAAUAUUUUUUAGU